CCCUGUAGAAUUCAAUGGGUGGAUAAGAAGCAAUGGACAAAAACUGAAGUGUGAAAAAUUCUGCUUCAGCACAAGAAAAAAAAAGUUUACAAUGAGUUGUUCUAAUGCUGAAUUUUGUCCAAAGAUGUUUUGGAGUCUCAUGCUUGGAGACAUUCAAAAUACACUGCAGAAAACCCUGGCCAAUGGUCUUGCUUCACCUUUCUUGGAGCAGGGAUUCAGACUGGAAAAACCUCUGGAAAUCCCUCCCAGCCUCAGCCAUUCUGUGACCCUGUGGAGUCAGCAGCUCCUCUGCUUGACAGAUGCCUGCAAAAUGUCAUCACACCUUUGUGUGGACCUGUUUGGGUCUCUAAGAGAGAAGGUUUCAGCCUCUCAGGAGCAAAGAUUUACAUCCAAGGAGUCCUCUUGGCCCUGCACCAACGAUUAAAGCCUGCAAAGGGCUGCAAACAGGUGAGUUGUCCCACUCUUUAAAAGUCUGCUUGUCUGUUUUGAUUUUCAAAUGUACUGAUUGUGUAAAAACAACGUUCUUUGUGUCACAAAGAAGCGUGGCACGUCCUGGAGAAGCUGUUAGGAGAAGGAAAUGUUUGUCCUGUAAGUGCAGAGCCCGCCACAGAGGAGUUAACUGAGUCUCUGCUGGUGGGGGAUGUCGUGUGUGGCGUUGCUGCCGAGCCGGGAUGUUCCUUGUGUGGAAAUUCUCUAAAGCCAUCAGUUCUCACUGCUCUUCUGCACAGGCAGCUUGUAAUUGUCUCAUAGGUCUUCCUACAGAGCUAACUUAAAUAAUGGUUUAGUUGAAGCAUAUUAUGAGUAAAUAAAUAAAUCAAUUCUAAGUACA
rnacentral:lncRNA from 1 species